rnacentral:rRNA from 1 species
AGAUAAUAGAUACCCGGGUAGUCCUAGCCCUAAACGGUGCGUGUUUGCUGUAAAAGGAAUCGACCCCUUUUGUGGCGAAAGCUAAACGCGUUAAAAACACGCCGCCUGGGGAGUACGGUCGCAAGAUUAAAACUCAAAGAAAUUGACGGGGCCUGCACAAGCGGUGGAGUAUGUGGCUUAAUUCGAUGCAACGCGAAGAACCUUACCUGGCCUUGACAUGCAAGUGGUAGAACCAUGAAAGUGGGACGAUCCCGCAAGGGAAGCUUGCACAGGUGCUGCAUGGCUGUCGUCAGCUCGUGUCGUGAGAUGUUGGGUUAAGUCCCGCAACGAGCGCAACCCUUGUGUCCUGUUGCCACUUCCUCGAGAGAGGAAAGCACUCUGGACAGACUGCCUCGCUUAAACGGGGAGGAAGGUGGGGAUGACGUCAAGUCAGUAUGGCCCUUACGGCCAGGGCUGCACACGUACUACAAUGCCUUACACAAAGGGAAGCAAGACCGUCAGGUGGAGCAAAUCCCAGAAAAUAAGGCCCAGUUCAGAUUGUCGU